rnacentral:rRNA from 1 species
GACGAACCGUGCGAACGUUAUUCGGAAUCACUGGGCUUAAAGCGCGUGUAGGCGGGAGGGCACGUCCGUUGCUGAAAUCCCCCGGCUCAACCGGGGAACGGGCGCGGAUACGACUCUCCUUGAGGGGCGUAGGGGGACCUGGAACUUCCGGUGGAGCGGUGAAAUGCGUUGAGAUCGGAAGGAACGCCCGUGGCGAAAGCGGCUUCCUGGUCCAGCACCGACGUUCAGGCACGAAAGCGUGGGGAGCAAACAGG